rnacentral:lncRNA from 1 species
AUGUCAGACUCUGAUCCUGCUGGAAAUCACCUGGCACUUGAACAGGGCAUCCUGCCCAAGGACGUGGACUGGGAGCACAGGUUCCUGCUCACUGUAUGGAUGUUACAGAGACCGGGACACCGAAACCAACGUGGUCCAGGACACUAUGAGAGAAGCACUGCGAUGCUUGGCCAGUGUUAUUCUGGGACAUCAUUGCUUCCAUUACUGAGCUUCUGAAUGGUGGUUAUGUCCCUCUUCCUAGAGCCUUCUCCAUGGUAUUGGUAAGUAAAGUGAUGCCAUGACCCUGACAAGGGACACAGGUGGGCUUUUCAAUCUGAUAAACUAGACAUCACUCUGGCAUAACCACAUUCUCGAGUUUUUUGUUCUCUUCCCCUACAACCUACACUGCCAGUACUGGUAUGUCUAAUUUAUUUAAUGUUGACCUUUGCAUUUUGAAGAUUCAGGUUUAUUGAGGUAUAAUUUACAUGUACUAAAAUAUGCCUAUUUAAGGUAUUUAUUUCUAUAAAUUUUGACAGUUAUAGUUGUGUAAUCACCAACACAAUCAGAUGUAGAACACUGUCAUCACUUCCAAAAAGUUCCAUUAAUUCGUAGAUUGCAUAGAAUUUAUAUCAUAGAUUGUAACUGAAUUUUAAUUUAUACAUUUAAAGUUCUUUUUAAAAAUUUUUGGUAGUUUUGACAGGAGGAAAAAGGUUGCUGGAUUUCAUUUGUUAAAUAAAUCUUUUAUUUGUAUAAGAAACCCA